CCACCAAAUUAAUUCAUAUUCCGUAACUUCCUAAUCGUAAAGCUGAGUUGUCUCUCUUUGACUCUUUCUUCUUAUGGUUUUCUGUACUACUCGUAUUUUUCAUCACCGUUGCUUCAAUCCUUAACCUUGAAUCGAUAUGCAGUGACGGAGCUUAGCAGGAACCACUACCAAUUGAACCACAUGCUUUGACCCCUUGAAUUGCUUCGACUACAGGCACAACCAAUCGACCUCACGGCUCAGGAUCCAAUUGAACACUCGUUACAAUCAACAUCUCCUGAAUAGGGUUCUGGCGACCCUUCAGUUUUCCAAAGAAGUUCCAGUCAAGUUUUGCUCUUCGGCGAGGUUUCCACCCAGGCUAACACCGGCAUGGUGGUUUUGACUGAUACAUUACUGAUCUCCGACACGCUGUUUUCCUUAUGAAACAUGGCUGUAUGUUAUGAUUCAACUUCUAUUGCGCCUUAAUUUGUAAGCCCCUGGCCGCAACGCGGCGGAGGGUUCCAUCUAGUUAUAUCUAUUUUAAAAUGAAUGGUCGGUGGCAUAUGUCACUGACAAAAAGA